rnacentral:rRNA from 1 species
GACGAACGCUGGCGGCGUGCUUAACACAUGCAAGUCGAACGGAAAGGCCCUGCUUUUGUGGGGUGCUCGAGUGGCAAACGGGUGAGUAACACGUGAGUAACCUGCCCUUGACUUUGGGAUAACUUCAGGAAACUGGGGCUAAUACCGGAUAGGAGCUCCUGCUGCAUGGUGGGGGUUGGAAAGUUUCGGCGGUUGGGGAUGGACUCGCGGCUUAUCAGCUUGUUGGUGGGGUAGUGGCUUACCAAGGCUUUGACGGGUAGCCGGCCUGAGAGGGUGACCGGCCACAUUGGGACUGAGAUACGGCCCAGACUCCUACGGGAGGCAGCAGCGGGGAAUAUUGCACAAUGGGCGGAAGCCUGAUGCAGCAACGCCGCGUGCGGGAUGACGGCCUUCGGGUUGUAAACCGCUUUCGCCUGUGACGAAGCGUGAGUGACGGUAAUGGGUAAAGAAGCACCGGCUAACUACGUG